rnacentral:lncRNA from 1 species
GCAUUCCAUCAACUAGCAAGAGCAAAGGGGGCAAAAAUGAGUAUGCAGCAAGAAUUAAAGAUACUGGUAAUUUCUCAGUACUUGUUUGCCAUCCCUGCCUUGGAGCCAGGUGAUUAUGGACUGAAACCUCUACAAACUGGACCUAUGCAGAAAAAACUGUGGAGCACAAUGGUCAGCUGACAGGUGAACAAGCAGGCAAAGCAUCAUAAAGACCUACUACAACAACAGGAGAACCAAAAAGAUGUCACCUGUGGCCUACAAGAAAGGACAGUGCACACUGUCCAAUAUAGUAAGAAGCUCCUGACAAAAGAGAAAGACAAGAGAGGAGACAAGAACGGCCUGGAACACAGGAAAGGAAAGCUAAGUACAUGUGCUGUCAGUGAAUCCAACUCAGGACCUUGGGCUUGCAAGGCAGGCAGUGGCACCACUGAGGUAAAUCCUCUGCCCCCAUCUUUUAGGUUUUGUAAGCAAGUACACAGCUGAUGUGAAAAUGUUGCUAUUUAUUCUAAAUGUGCAAUAUAUAUUAAGAAUUUAAUCCUUUAUUGUGUUGAUAUUUUAUGUUCCUCUUAAC